GAAAGCGACGGUUAGUAGCGUACCUCUGUGAACACCGACAGUCUUGAUUUAGCCACAGCCGCGCUUGUAUUCCAGAAAGCAACCUACUAUCCACUACCUCAGAAAAGUCGAUUGGUGAGGCUCCAAUCAACAAUGAGUAGAAUUUCUCGAGUGAACGUUGCAUUAGUUGCAGUUUUAAUCUUGGUGGUAGUCACAAUGAUGGUAGAAGGACAGCUUGCUGGUAACUGCAAACCAGGACCCCUUCGAAGGAGAGGAGUCUGUAUUCCUACGAGAAAAGAUACACCUGCUUCAUCAGCAUCCAACAGGCAACCUCCAGCGCGUCCUUCAAAUCGUCCGCACCCUCCAAGUUCAAUCUCUGACUCGUGUCGAAGGGUCUGCUCCCUCCUUUAUCAGCCGGUGUGCGAUACCAAUGGGG